GACGAACGCUGGCGGCGUGCUUAACACAUGCAAGUCGAACGGUAAGGCUCCAGCUUGCUGGGGUACACGAGUGGCGAACGGGUGAGUAACACGUGGGUGACCUGCCCUGCACUUCGGGAUAAGCCUGGGAAACUGGGUCUAAUACCGGAUAGGACCGCACCGUGAGGGUGUGGUGGAAAGUUUUUUCGGUGUGGGAUGGGCCCGCGGCCUAUCAGCUUGUUGGUGGGGUAAUGGCCUACCAAGGCGGCGACGGGUAGCCGGCCUGAGAGGGUGGACGGCCACAUUGGGACUGAGACACGGCCCAGACUCCUACGGGAGGCAGCAGUGGGGAAUAUUGCACAAUGGGCGGAAGCCUGAUGCAGCGACGCCGCGUGGGGGAUGACGGCCUUCGGGUUGUAAACUCCUUUCACCAUCGACGAAGGGUUUCUGACGGUAGAUGGAGAAAAAGCACCGGCUAACUACGUGCCAGCAGCCGCGGUAAUACGUAAGGUGCGAGCGUUGUCCGGAAUUACUGGGCGUAAAGAGCUCGUAGGUGGUUUGUCGCGUCGUCUGUGAAAUUCCGGGGCUUAACUCCGGGCGUGCAGGCGAUACGGGCAUAACUUGAGUACUGUAGGGGAGACUGGAAUUCCUGGUGUAGCGGUGAAAUGCGCAGAUAUCAGGAGGAACACCGGUGGCGAAGGCGGGUCUCUGGGCAGUAACUGACGCUGAGGAGCGAAAGCAUGGGGAGCGAACAGGAUUAGAUACCCUGGUAGUCCAUGCCGUAAACGGUGGGCGCUAGGUGUGGGUUUCCUUCCACGGGAUCCGUGCCGUAGCUAACGCAUUAAGCGCCCCGCCUGGGGAGUACGGCCGCAAGGCUAAAACUCAAAGGAAUUGACGGGGGCCCGCACAAGCGGCGGAGCAUGUGGAUUAAUUCGAUGCAACGCGAAGAACCUUACCUGGGCUUGACAUAUACAGGAUCGCGCCAGAGAUGGUGUUUCCCUUGUGGCUUGUAUACAGGUGGUGCAUGGUUGUCGUCAGCUCGUGUCGUGAGAUGUUGGGUUAAGUCCCGCAACGAGCGCAACCCUUGUCUUAUGUUGCCAGCACGUUGUGGUGGGGACUCGUAAGAAACUGCCGGGGUUAACUCGGAGGAAGGUGGGGAUGACGUCAAAUCAUCAUGCCCCUUAUGUCCAGGGCUUCACACAUGCUACAAUGGUCGGUACAGUGGGUUGCCAGUCCGUGAGGGCGAGCUAAUCCCGCAAAGCCGGUCUCAGUUCGGAUCGGGGUCUGCAACUCGACCCCGUGAAGUCGGAGUCGCUAGUAAUCGCAGAUCAGCAACGCUGCGGUGAAUACGUUCCCGGGCCU
rnacentral:rRNA from 1 species